UGGGUACGGCAGGUAAGGGGGCACACCUGAGAUACACCUGAGAUACACCUGGGUACCCAACAUACACCCAAAGUACACCUGAGAUACACCUGGGGGUUCCACCUGGGGGGCAAACUCAACCUGGAGUGGGUACGGCAGGUGAGACAUGGCACACCUGGGCACACUUGGGUACACCUGAGAUACACCUGGGUACCCAAAAUACACCUGAGAUACACCUGGGCACACCUGGGGCUUCCACCUGGGCGGGAAACUGAACCUGGAGUGGGUGCGGCAGGUAAGACAUGGCACACCUGAGAUACACCUGGGUACCCAAAAUACACCUGGGGCUUCCACCUGGGGGGGAAAAUGAACAUGGAGUGGGUACGGCAGGUAAGGGGGCACACCUGGCACACCUGAGAUACACCUGGGGCUUCCGCCUGGGGGGGAAAAUGAACCUGGAGUGGGUCAGACAGGUGAGAGAUGUACCCAAAAUGUACCCAAACACACCUGGGCACACCUGGGUAUACCUGGGAUACACCUGAGAUACACCUGGGGGUUCCACCUGGGCGGGAAACUGAACCUGGAGUGGGUGAGACAGGUGCCCUGGCCCAAGGUUCACCUGCAGAGCUCGGCCCGGGUGAGCUUCGACCAGAGAACGUUCCAGAACACCUGGGGGGGCACCGAGCUGCAGGUGAGAGACGGGGGGGGCUGGCACACCUGGGCACACCUGGGAUACACCUGGGGGCACCCAAAAUACACCUGGGCACAGCUGGGAUACACCUGGGUGCACCUGGGCACACCUGGGCACACCUGGGAUACACCUGGGCACACCUGGGUGCACCUGGGCACACCUGGGAUACACCUGGGAUACACCUGGGAUACACCUGGGAUACACCUGGGCACACCUGGGCACACCUGGGGGCACCUGGGAUACACCUGGGCACAGCUGGGAUACACCUGGGAUACACCUGGGCACACCUGGGAUACACCUGGGAUGCACCUGGGCACACCUAGGGGCACCCAAAAU
rnacentral:lncRNA from 1 species